GCCCGCCUAGCUCAAUCGGAUAGAGCGUCAGACUCUUAAACGCGGGCAUCUGAAGGCUGCGAGUUCGACCCUCGCGGUGGGCU